rnacentral:rRNA from 1 species
UACGUAGGGGGCAAGCGUUGUCCGGAUUCACUGGGUGUAAAGGGCGCGCAGGCGGGUUAGCAAGUCAGAGGUGAAAUCCUACAGCUUAACUGUAGAACUGCCUUUGAAACUGUUAAUCUUGAGUGCGGAAGAGAGAGACGGAAUUCCAGGUGUAGCGGUGAAAUGCGUAGAUAUCUGGAAGAACACCAGUUGCGAAGGCGGUCUCUUGGUCCGUUACUGACGCUCAGGCGCGAAAGCGUGGGGAGCAAACAGGAUUAGAUACCCUGGUAGUCCACGCCCUAAACGAUGAAUACUAGGUGUUGGUCUCAUUGAGAUCAGUGCCGCAGCUAACGCAUUAAGUAUUCCACCUGGGGAGUACGAUCGCAAGGUUGAA